rnacentral:ncRNA from 1 species
ACUCGGGCACGAUCCGGGCUCCGGCGCGAUCCACGUUCCGCGGCGAAUCAUACGUCGUGAAGCGAAAAUCCGCCCACGCCGCCCGGAAGCGACCCGUAGUUCAAUCCUGAGGGA